rnacentral:pre_miRNA from 1 species
ACACGGGGCCUGAUCCAAAGCUCACUGAAGUCAAUGGGAAUCUUUCCAUUGACUUCAAUGGGCUUUGGGUCUGGCCCAUAGU